UGCCGUAGGUGAACCUGCGGAAGGAUCAUUCGCACGCAUCCAAUUAAUACCACUGUGAAUUCUUGGCGUGAGGUUCUGCUUGGGGAUGGAGAUUGCAUCAAUGCCCCCUUGCAGAAGCUCAAGGGCGGCAGGGCUGGAUGGGUGCUUGUCACCUCCUUUCAGUUCUUGUCGUCACUUCCCUUGUCACUUUUCUUGCUUUUGCAUUUCUACUUCUUGAAAUGGGUUUCCCAUUUCUUUUCUUACAACUUUCAGCGAUCGAUGUCUCGGCUCGAACAACGAUGAAGGGCGCAGCGAAGUGUGAUAAGCAUUGUGAAUUGCAGGAUUCCGUGAACCAAUAGGGACUUGAACGUACACUGCGCUUUCGGGAUAUCCCUGAAAGCAUGCCUGCUUCAGUGUCCAUUCCUUUAUUCCAGCAACACCUUCCAUUCCGGUGGUACUGUUGCUUGGGUGUGUUUGUGCGUUAGAGCGCCUUGCUGCCUCUGACGUGCUUAAGGUAUGGGGAUUUCUUCAUGGCACACACCUUGCUAAACAUCUCUGAUGUAACUUGUUGUCGUGCUUUCGAGGAAAGCCCCUUGAUGCAGUAUGUCUCAUACUUCCGAAGACAUGAAGUUAGGUCAGCAAACCCGCUGAAUUUAAGCAUAUCA
rnacentral:rRNA from 1 species